UAUGUGUCUAUUUUAUUUUGGUCCCAAGAGAAAAGCAAUCUAACUUUUAUGAGAAGGUGGCGCUGUUGCAGCAACACAUUUUCCUUUCAGAAUACGAGAAUGAAAACUUGGAGGCAGAGAAACAUGAUUGCAGCUGUUCUGCUGCUGUGUGCUGUCGGAGUGCUCUGCUCUGAUGAUGU